rnacentral:rRNA from 1 species
CGCCCGAGCCUUUAAAUCCACAUACACCUGUGAACCCAAUGUAAGGGCCCGUAACAAGGCCCCUACGUCUUUAUCAUCAACCCAUCGCAUGUCUCAUAGAAUGUCAUUCAAUAUCUUCGCCUUAACAAAGCGUCGGUAAACUUAUACAACUUUCAACAACGGAUCUCUUGGCUCUCGCAUCGAUGAAGAACGCAGCGAAAUGCGAUAAGUAAUGUGAAUUGCAGAUUUUCAGUGAAUCAUCGAAUCUUUGAACGCACCUUGCGCCCCUUGGUAUUCCGAGGGGCAUGCCUGUUUGAGUGUCAUUAAAUUCUCAACUCCAUUUGAUUUGUUUCAAACCUGGAGCUUGGACUUGGAGUGUGCUGGCGUUGACCGUCGGCUCCUCUCAAAUGCAUCGGCGGAAUUGAACCUUUGACUUCCGAACGUCAGUGUGAUAAUUAACGUUGCGCUGUCGACCGGGGUCGGAGUCCGCUUACAAUCGUCCUCGGACAACUCAUCAAAUUUGACCUCAAAUCAGGUAGGACUACCCGCUGAACUUAAGCAUAUCAAUAAGC